CAAAUUGUGUGUUUAAUUCAUGAAUACACAAGUCAAUAUGACGCAAUUCUUUAGCGAAUUCUCCCCAGAAAAUGUUAGAAAACAUAGUCACCGAUCGAGCUUCAAAACUACAAACAUUUUCUGGGGGAAUACCCUAGAGAUGUCAUAAUUAAAACUGUAGUGAUUGCAAGUAAUUUUAACAUUGAAGUCCAAAUCAGAACCAGGAAAGUCCUGGUCAAAUUAAUUUAGCAAUAGGGUGAAAAUAAUCAUAGCAAAAUUACCCAAGAAUAUGAAGUGAACCCAAAUAGGCUUAUUUGCACAGGUUUACCAGGACAUUUAACUAGUAAUUUUAACCAUUGUAAAUCAAUGAGGUUUUGUAACAACCAAAGUUAAUAGUAAUUUAACCA
rnacentral:lncRNA from 1 species